rnacentral:rRNA from 1 species
UACAGAGACUGCGAGCGUUAUUCGGAUUCACUGGGCGUAAAGGGUGCGCAGGCGGCCGAGUGUGUGAGGCGGUGAAAGCCCGGGCUUAACCCCGGAAUUGCACCUCAAACUACACGGCUAGAGCAUUGGAGGAGGGUAGCAGAAUUCAUGGUGUAGCAGUGAAAUGCGUAGAUAUCAAUGAGGAAUACCAGAGGCGAAGG